UCGAUCAGCGCAGGUAUAAGAACCAUACUCCAAGUUCUAAACGGGAGGAUCAUGAAGGAUUCUUCUGUGGUAACCUAGUGGGUCUUCCGGAAGUUCAAGAACUUCUUAAGAUUCUUUUGAAAGGCCCAGUGCCAAAGUGGUGACACUGGGGCAGUCAUACGUCAAACGCGGGUGAACCCACCUCUCCUGGAAACACACUUUUCAGGUUCUGUGGACGACGUAACUUCGGAUCCACUACAUGGGUCAGUGGAAGGCCGACCGCCUGGGUGGAUACCGAGGGACCGCUGAGAUGGGCGGUCAAUACGUUCAGCCCCUUUAAGAGUGCAGAACUGAAUGGGAUAUUCUCGUCCUUUGUGUCAAUUGGGUAUACAUAUUCCCAAAAGCUGGAGAAAGGUAACAGUUGCAUAUCUACACAAACCGGGUCGUGGCAAACAUGACCCAGCCCAUUACCUUAUCAUCUUUUCUUCUAAAAAUAGUAGAGAAGCUACUGGAUGCAUACAUAAGGAGUGAGAGCUGGUAUGUCUACGGAGGCGGCUCUUUACAGCCUCGUGUGCGGGUUGACGAGGGGAGAGGGGUCUGGGAGCGUUUAACAACACCGCAUUCGAUUACAUUUAGUGAAGCUGUUGAUUGAUGUUGGUCACCAAAGGAUGUCCGCAUGGUAGAGUGUUGUCUCCACAUGGUGUUUGAUGGGCUCCUCCGCACUGUAAAGAAAUUUGGUGCAUAUAACAAGUACACUUUUUGAGGACGCUAACUGGGUCUGACCUAGAAAGGGCACAUUGAAUGAAUAACUCAAAAGGCCACUACGUGUCUAUAGGCAUGUAUAAGGGUUUUUGCUUCAAUCCUCGUCCAACCUACAGGAAGCAGCUAAGUAAAUUACAUAGAUUGGCCUGCCUGGGAGUCACUGGAACCGUGAAAACCAUGCCAACUUUGGCCAUGAGGGCACUUAUUGAACUAGAGCCUUUACACUUAUCUGUAGAGGUGGAGCCUCGGAACAGUCAGCCCUAUUUGCUUUGUUGAAGACGCAGUUCGUCAUAUUUUAUAAUAAAUUUGUGCACAGGUAAAUUAAGUAAAGUGGUUUAUGUAGAAAAGGAAGUGUUGCAACGUGGCCGGUUACCUUUUGCCGCUAGCCUGCGUCCGCCGUGAACUUUUU